CAUAUAUCCUAGCGUUGCGUUGCAACGAAAGAAACCGCACACGAAACUUUUUUUUACAGACCUAACACCAUGUCCCUUGCAUGCUUUGCUGGGCCUACACAUAUUCUUGCAAAAUGAGCCCUUCUAGUGUUACGUAAUAGAUGAAUAUUCCCUUGCUGGAUCGUAAAGCUUUCCGAAAUUUUCCCGGUGCGGUUACAAACUUUUCAACCAACAAUUCGGAUGAAACAUUUCAACGCGUUUUUCAUGCAACAAAGUAUACAAGUUUGUGUCUGUUCGAUGGUUUUUUCACGGUCAUUUUCUGUGGAGAAUUCUACUUUCCUUCUGAUGAUAUGAAAGUAAAUAAAGAAAGCGUAAAUAAAAAUCACUAAAAUAUGCUGUUUAGACAACGAUUGCGUGCUAAUUCAAACCAUGUUUUAUUUAAAUAGAAAACAAACCAACACCUUUGACGUUUCCAAAUGUCAUUUCAAUGGCGCCGUCAUUUCUGGCGUUUCAAAAUGUCAUUUCAAUGUUUGUUGUUGUUGAAUUAAUAACCAAGCCAGAACCUGCUAAUGGUUUCACGAAUAAUCGUAUUAGAAUGGUUCUUUCGUUUCGAGCGAUGGAUAGAAUUCAUAAUAAAUGAGGACCACGGAUAGCAAACAGGAUACAUACAAAUCAGAGGUCUUCCGACUAUUUGGAAAUGUACAAGUAUUACGAUUACUUCACGUAUCGUUUAAUAAUCUGUUAUGGAUGGAAUUUCGAUGGUGCGCAUCACAAGACAAGAUGCAUUGAGAUUACCCGAAUGUAUGCGAAAUUGGAUGCAAAAAGGGCUGUAGGCGUAUUACUGGCGCCCGUGGCGCGUGGUGAAGCCGUCAAUGCGACCGAGUCGGUAGAGUUAAGCCCCGAAGGGGUUUUUUUUGGGGUGGGGAGGGUCCCCAGACACGCCACGGAAUGCGAAUUGGACAACGUACCGAAAGUGUUGUGCCCAAAAUCCAGAAGAGCAUCCGAGCGUACAGGCCGUCAUCACGACAAAAACAUCCGAAUGCAGAAAACGGGGCGAGGAUCGGUGAGUGAAUGUAGCCCUUAUUUUUCUUUGUUCGGUGAUUACCGUGGAGAAAUGCACCCGGCAAACACACAGCCAGACGUAUAGGGAUAUGCAUUACCUUCGUCAUGCAAAGCAUGCACGUACAUUUGGUACUUUCUUGCGAAAUUUCGUCGCACAUAGUUGAACGCGCCCGAAUUUAGUAGCUCCGGAAAAGCUAACUUUUUCGUUUUUUGUGUGUUGGUUGUCCGGCGAAACAAAAAAAAAGAAUAAAACACCCGAAAUAAUGCUCGCUCGUGCUAAUGUGCAACACACAAUCGUACCAAACAUUUGGGGGGAGGGUUUUUAAGGAGGGGAUUUAGCUGCAUGUUGCUCAGUUUGCUCAAAAACCGUAGCGUUCUGUAACUGCUAUGUACGAUUUGAUUCGUUAAGGAACGGCUUUUAAUACUGACCGAGAAAUGCCCCUCUUUUUUUUUGGCUUGUCGCAAACCCAACUCACCACGAGGGUUGCUUUUUUGUUUUUUGGCAUACUCCGAACGUGACCGGCGCAAAGUGUUGUGUCCUUCAGCUUCAGCAGUGACAAACUUCAAACAAGCGUUUCCUUCUAAACAAUAAGCUUGUUCACUGAUGGUAAUGUGUGCAGGGUGUAUGUGUGGCCCUCGCUGCAUUAUGAACUGUUUGCGAUGGUGGCUGACGUGAAUUCGUUAGUGGUAUGGUUGUGACAUUUUUUGCUGUCAUUUAUAUUCCUAAUGGUCUCGCAUUAAUAUGUGAUGACGUAUAAUAGGUUUACAACUAGCAUAUUGGACCAUUGAAAUAUUAGAUAAUGUGUUUAUCUCUGUGUGAUUUUGGUUCACAUUACUAGUGCGAAGAAUCAUUACAUUAAAUGCAUAAAUUUCUGAUUGGAUUUUCGUAGUAAAUUUUCUGUGAAGCACUAUGAUUUUUUUUUACUAUUUAUUACUAUCGUAUUAAACUUUUCUGAAAUAAAAUAAAGUAUUACAUAUUUAUUCAAGUUUCCUACUUUAUGGGUUACUUAACCGUAGUGUCUACGACCAAAAAAAUACACGUGGUUCUAUGACCGCCUGACCGGGUAGGCCAUACGAUUUGCAUGAGAUUUUUCAGAAUUCCCUUACGAUUUUUUUGGGAAAUUUUGCAAAAAAAAUAAAAUUGUUUUAUUUUAAUCCCAAUUGGUUGCAAUGAGUUUCUUUUCACUCAAAUAAUGAUUGAAAUAAAAAAAAGAGUGAAAAAUAAUGAAAAAAUCAAAAAAUUCAAAAAAUGAAAAUUUACUAAGGGUCAUUUUCGCACCAAAUUUUGCCUAUAACUCGGUCUGUAUCCAACGGAUCGCCAAUCUUUAACCUGUGGUCGAUAGAUGGCACCAAUGGCUACAUUUUCUUCUUGGACGGCCAUACCGUCAGAUGUCUGUGCCAGAAGUUAUUCGAGGAACCAAGUUCCAUACCCUGUUUGAGAAAAUGUAAAAUUUUCUUCAUUUUUGCACCAACUUUUGCAUAUAACUCGGUCGGUAUCCAACGAAUCGCCAAUCUUUAACCUGUGGUCGAUAGAUGGCAUCAAUGGCUACAUUUUCUUCUUGGACGGCCAUGCCCUCAGAUGUCUGUGCCAGAAGUCAUUCGAGGAACCAAAUUCCUUACCCUGUUUGAUAAAAUGUAAAAUUUUUCUCAUUUUUGCACCAAAUUUUGCCUAUAACUCGGUCGGUAUCCAACGGAUCGCCAAUCUUUAACCUGUGGUCGAUAGAUGGCAUCAAUGGCUACAUUUUCUUCUUGGACGGCCAUGCCCUCAGAUGUCUGUGCCAGAAGUUAUUCGAGGAACCAAGUUCCUUACCCUGUUUGAGAAAAUGUAAAAUUUUCUUCAUUUUUGCACCAACUUUUGCCUAUAACUCGGCCGGUAUCCAACGGAUCGCCUAUCUUUAACUUGUGGUCGAUAGAUGACACCAAUGGCUACAUUUUCUUCUUGGACGGCCAUACCGUCAGAUGUCUGUGCCAGAAGUUAUUCAGGGAACCAAGUUCCUUACCCUGUUUCUGAACAAUUUAGCAAUAUUGAAAAAUGUGAUAUAUCUUAAUGGGAAUUUGUUGCAAUAUGUUUCUUUUCACUCAAAUAAUGCUUUAAACUAAAAAAAGAAUAAAAAAUCGAAAAAAAAAUUUCAAAAAAAUUUCAACUCGAAAAUUUCAUAAGGCUUACCCCUUACGUUUUUUUUGAGAAAUUUUGCAAAAAAAAUAAAAUUGUUUUAUUUUAAUCCCAAUUGGUUGCAAUGAGUUUCUUUUCACUCAAAUAAUGAUUGAAAUAAAAAAAAGAGUGAAAAAUAAUGAAAAAAUCAAAAAAUUCAAAAAAAUGAAAAUUUACUAAGGGUCAUUUUCGCACCAAAUUUUGCCUAUAACUCGGUCGGUAUCCAACGGAUCGCCAAUCUUUAACCAGUGGUCGAUAGAUGGCAUCAAUGGCUACAUUUUCUUCUUGGACGGCCAUGCCCUCAGAUGUCUGUGCCAGAAGUUAUUCGAGGAACCAAGUUCCUUACCCUGUUUGAGAAAAUGUAAAAUUUUUCUCAUUUUUGCACCAACUUUUGCCUAUAACUCGGUCGGUAUCCAACGGAUCGCCAAUCUUUAACUUGUGGUCGAUAGAUGGCACCAAUGGCUACAUUUUCUUCUUGGACAGCCAUGCCCUCAGAUGUCUGUACCAGAAGUUAUUCGAGGAACCAAGUUCCUUACCC